ACCAGACACAGACGGCGUAUUUCAUUUGUGUGGUUAAAGAGUGUCUUUAAAUGCAAUAUACCAUAUUAAUCAACUACAGUGCGCGAAGGCAACCGGACGAGACCCGAGUAUGAAAGCAAAGCGCUAAAUGCGCGCCUGUCCGCGGUCAGCCUUGCUGAAUGGAAUGGAUAAUAUUAUAGAGGAUUAUUUUCGUUGUGGUUUCACAAAUAGAGAAAUCUUGAUUUUAUUGGAGGAGUCACACAAUAUAAAACUAAGCCUCCGGACUCUUGAAAGAACGUUACAGAGGAAUCGGUUGUGGCGGAGACGCAAUAAAACAGAUGUUGCCGAAGUCUCAUAUUUUAUUCACCAACAGCUGCAAAUAUCUGGACGUCAACAUGGCUAUCGAUGGAUGCAUCAAAAAUGCUGGAUGUAUGGGAUUAUCACGGACAGAGAAACUGUCCGCCAGUUGAUGCACCUGUUAGAUGGACAAGGGGUGGAUCUUCGUUCGCGUGGUCGUCUGCGUCGAAGCGUGUAUAACAGUCGUGGUCCAAAUUAUGUUUGGCAUAUUGACGGUUAUGACAAACUAAAACCUUACGGAAUAUGUAUAAACGGAUGCAUCGAUGGUUUUUCCAGAAAAAUCAUCUGGUUUGAGGCCAACAAAACUAACAAUGACCCACGAGUAAUUGCCGGUUAUUAAGUAAAUGCUGUUGCUGAAAAUAACGGCUACCCGCAAAGAAUCCGAAUUGACCGUGGAACAUAUAGCAGAAAUGCAGAUAUUUUUCAGAGAAGCUGCAAAUGCAGAAUGUGUCACAAUUGGUCCAAGCACUGGAAAUCAAAGAAUUGAACGAUGGUGGUCAACGCUGAGAAGCCAAUGCAUUCAAUUUUGGAUGGAUCAUUUUGAACAACUUAAAGAAGACGGACACUUUGUUGGCAGCUUUAUUGACAAAUCUCUAAUUCAGUUUUGCUUUUUAACAUUUUAUUCAGGAGGAUCUUGAUGAAACAGUCAGUGCUUGGAAUUGCCACAGGAUAAGGCCAACCCACGUGCUCCCAGUGGUGUUCCCAGUUUAUAUGGAGUGCAGAAUUUCUUAUAUCCAGUUGAUCAAACAAAACUGAGAAUUUGCAGAGAAGACUGUAUAUUUAAAGACUACCCUUGUGGAUGUAUGGAUGAGGAUGUCUUUCAACUUUGUGUGGAACUGAUGGCUGAACAUAACCUUGUCAUGACGAAUGAUGUUUAUGAAAUUACGGACUCUUACCUGAGACUUCGUCAACUGAUUCUUCAUGGACUGGAAAUGGAUGAAUAGAUCAUAACCAAAAUAAUGUACAGUAUUCACUGUAUAGUCCAUUUGAAAUUUGCCUAAUAUUGCCAUUUCAUUUUUACCUCAUGGUGUUGAAUUACAGCCAGGCUUCUUUCUCUUCAAGUAACCUCGGACCAGUGGAGGAAAUCUAAUUUCAGUUACCAUUACCAUACUAUACCUGCUUAACUGAGCAUUUUUUUCAUUCUUCUGGUAAUUUUAUUGUAUGGUGUUGGGUUGGGUAUUUUGUAUGCUCUGUAAUAUUACGCUAGAAAAAUGUUUAAAUGUUUAUUCAUAAAGCGGCGUAUGAAGUCCUCCUUAACAAAGAAUAUACUGUAUUGGCAAAAACAUACUUUAAUUUGAUAUGAUUAUUUGCUUGAAUUUAUAUUUAUUAUUUUGUCAUUUGUAAUGAGAUGACUGAACAUUAUAGGCCUAGAUGAUGUUGAACUGACGUUUUACUCUAGUUUAAUUUUAAAAACGAAUAUUUAAAUAAGAGAAGAGGGUAAUGUCUGUGUAAAUAUUUAAGUCUUACAGAAAGCUGCAAACAUAUCCAUUCUUAGUUCCAGGACCGAGAGACAGAUUCUGAACACACUUUGACCAAAGAGUAUGUUUUCACAUACAUAAUGCUUAACAAAUAAAAAAGAAUAGUGAGAAUGGCCCCCUAUACUGAAGUGUUAUCCUUUCACAUUGUAACUCACUCAUCAUCAUAUCCCUUAUGAGAAUUAACCAUGUUUUAACCACGGUUUAACUAGUAAGUAUGCGUUUUUAACUAUAGUAAAACCAUGCUUAAUUUUCGUAAGUGUUCAAACAACGUCAUAUUUAGCUAAUUUUCUUUUACAAAAUGACCAUAUUUAAAAAGCAUUGUCUACUAGCGUACCUGAAUUUGAAUCGACCUUUGUAGAGAGCAUCAACUAAUCUCUUGAUAAGAGCAACGUGAUCAACGGCGUAAGAUUGGCCCUUUAUCAUACUGAUACAAGGUAACACACUCAAGCUACGUGGUUGGAUUUAUUCACAUUUUAUUUGUUACAAGACGGUUUUUAAUAGAAUUCAAAUCAUUGUAAUAUACCUCGUCGCCGCAAGAUGUAAUCCACAGCUCUGUUGACGAUAAAGUGUAAGGUGCCUAGUGUGCAUUAACCGAUGCAUCACAUGGCAUCCAAGUGCUGACCGCGGACAGGCGCCAUCAAUUGGAUGUGACAGAAAAACAUGAAAUGCGAGAACUAAACUCAAAAGUAAGAGAAAUAAAGUCACAAUUGUGAGAUAUAAAGUCGCAAUUCUGAGAAACAAAGUGGCAAUUCUGAGAAAUAAAGUCGCAAUUCUGAGAUAUAAAGUCAGAAUUCUGAGAUAUAAAGUUGCAAUUCUGAGAAAUAAAGUCACAUUUUGGAGAAAUAAACUUGCAAUUCUGAUAUAUAAAGUCAGAAUUCUAAGAUAUAAAGUUGCAAUUCUGAGACAUAAAGUCACAUUUUUGAGAAAUAAAGUCACAAUUCUGAGAUAUAAAGUCGCAAUAACCGUAUUUAUUUUUUCUCACUGGCGGAAUCAAGCUUCCAUAUAGAAAGCGAUUUGCUAGUUGUAACUUGUAUUUCUAUUCUGCGCUCACUAUUGAGUUAGUUUAGGAUCUGGGCUUAUAAGACAAUAGUGGCAACAUUUAUUUAAGGUGUUAUCUUUCAUAUUUGUGUAGUUAAGCAGAAAAAUAUCUCGUUAUGCUGCUGUAGAAAAAUGUUAUGUCAAUGCUGCAUAAAAUCUCUCUAGACGUGAGUAAUACAGACCCUUGCAAAAUGAAGAUAAUACAAAACAAAGAGGUUGGUGUUCAUUCUUGAUUCUUCAUUAAUUAUUGGUGAGGAACAUAAAGUAAAACCCCUUAGUACUUUAUGAAUCACUACAAGUCUUUGUUAAGAUUUUAUGGUCUUGAAACAAAAUUGAAAACUACGUAAUAUAGAAAGUAAAAUAGCACAGUAAACAUUCUUCUC